GGUAAAAUGGCUGAGCGCAGGCAUUAGACUGUAAAUCUAACCACAGGGGUUUAGACCUCUUUUUACCA
rnacentral:tRNA from 1 species